CAUCCUAACAAGGAAGAAUUCCAUGACCAUUUGCCAUGCUGCUACUUUGCCCCACCCGCAAUUGCGAAAGAGAUUGUAUUAACACUGUCGACAUCCGAUCAAACUGUCUGAAAGAUCGUUCCUUAAAUGAUCCACACUCUACGAGAACAGCUUUAGUGUGAGGAGGAGGAGAAGAAGAAGACGAUGAUGAUGAAGAUGAUGAAGAGGGUUUGUGAUCAUCAUCACAUUCUCUCUGUAUGUUUAUGAGGAUAUGUGACGGAUCCAAAGACAAAGACCUCUGCAAGCCAUUCACAAACCUCUGCUGCUUAUUACUCCCAUCAAUAGGUAAUAACACAAGUGAGACACAAUUCCUUAGCAAACCAUUUGGUUUUGGCAAUUGGACGCUAAGUAGACCCCUUAAUUCCUCAUGACUCUGGGUAGACAAGUUCGAGGUCGAAUUCGAAUUAGAACACUCGACGCUGCUGGAUUGAUCUCGAACUUCUUGAUCUGGGAUCUCUUGAUCUGCAGUCAAAUGUUCCCCAGUUUUAAUGGGCGCAGCUAUUGGUGCCCUACAAAUUGGACAGUUUGUAUGUGCCAGGAACCAUAUGUCUAUGCAUGGAUUGUGAAACACAUGUUUGCAAUUGGGGAGAAGCCUCACCAUGUCACCAUCUUCCAGCUCACCCAAGCAGAUCACACACUCACUCUGAUCUAGACCGGUUAGUCCGUCUUUUGUGGAGUAAGAGAGAAUUGGGAUAGAGCUCAAAACUUUCUCAUCCACCCCACUUUGGUUGAUGUUGGGAUUUUGUUGCGGUGAUAAGUAGGU